UGAUCCGCCACACUGGAACUGAGACACGGUCCAGACUCCUACGGGAGGCAGCAGUGGGGAAUUUUGGACAAUGGGGGCAACCCCGAUCCAGCCAUGCCGCGUGAGUGAAGAAGGCCUUCGGGUUGUAAAGCUCUUUCGGCCGGGAAGAAAUCGCAUGGGCCAAUACCCUGUGUGGAUGACGGUACCGGAAUAAGAAGCACCGGCUAACUACGUGCCAGCAGCCGCGGUAAUACGUAGGGUGCGAGCGUUAAUCGGAAUUACUGGGCGUAAAGCGUGCGCAGGCGGUUUUGUAAGACAGGCGUGAAAUCCCCGGGCUUAACCUGGGAACUGCGUUUGUGACUGCAAGGCUAGAGUACGGCAGAGGGGGGUGGAAUUCCACGUGUAGCAGUGAAAUGCGUAGAGAUGUGGAGGAACACCAAUGGCGAAGGCAGCCCCCUGGGUCGAUACUGACGCUCAUGCACGAAAGCGUGGGUAGCAAACAGGAUUAGAUACCCUGGUAGUCCACGCCCUAAACUAUGUCAACUAGGUGUUGGGUGGGUAAAACCAUUUAGUACCGUAGCUAACGCGUGAAGUUGACCGCCUGGGGAGUACGGCCGCAAGGUUAAAACUCAAAGGAAUUGACGGGGACCCGCACAAGCGGUGGAUGAUGUGGAUUAAUUCGAUGCAACGCGAAAAACCUUACCUACCCUUGACAUGCCAGGAACUUGCCAGAGAUGGCUUGGUGCCCGAAAGGGAGCCUGGACACAGGUGCUGCAUGGCUGUCGUCAGCUCGUGUCGUGAGAUGUUGGGUUAAGUCCCGCAACGAGCGCAACCCUCGUCGUUAAUUGCCAUCAUUUAGUUGGGCACUUUAACGAGACUGCCGGUGACAAACCGGAGGAAGGUGGGGAUGACGUCAAGUCCUCAUGGCCCUUAUGGGUAGGGCUUCACACGGCAUACAAUGGUCGGUACAAAGGGUUGCCAAGCCGCGAGGCGGAGCCAAUCCCAGAAAGCCGAUCGUAGUCCGGAUUGCAGGCUGCAACUCGCCUGCAUGAAGUCGGAAUCGCUAGUAAUCGUGGAUCAGCAUGUCACGGUGAAUACGUUCCCGGGUCUUGUACACACCGCCCGUCACACCAUGGGAGCGGGUUCCGCCAGAAGUAGGUAGCCUAACCGCAAGGGGGGCGCUUACCACGGCGGGGUUCGUGACUGGGGUGAAGUCGUAACAAGGUA
rnacentral:rRNA from 1 species